rnacentral:lncRNA from 1 species
UUUUCCUUCAUUCAAACAAUCCAGAGAGAUCUACUGAGGAGCAGAUACUCAGCCAAGCAGACAUGGGCCUUCAGAAAGAAAGAGGCCAAGAAAUAUUUGUUUACGUUAAAAAGAAAGCAUAAAAAAACAGAACUCAAGCUAGCAGAGGCCCUGGGAGAGCAGCUGGUCCAGCCCCUGCUCCUCGCCGCACAGAGAAGGCACAAGGCUAUGGCUGAGGCGGCCUAAUCUGGCCUGUGGGUCCGCUCCAGCAGUCAUCAUCUGGUUUUGUUAACAAGGAACUAUUUACAAAAACUGAGAAACCACACUCCAAGAUGGAAAACCAAGAUUUGGGCAAAUUAAAGCAUGGAAUAUCAAGCCUCAUUUUCAGAUUAGGAAACCGAGGCCUGGAAAGUUUAAGCAGCUUGCCCGCAGUUGACUGUCCACGCGUCCAGGAUCAGAGGAGUCCUGGCUCUGGCGGGCCCCUUGGAGAAGGUGAAGCCUUCCAUGGCCAUCAGCCCCUGAUGCUGGAUACCAGACACCACAUCAGGAAACCAAGCCUCAGAGACGCGGAGUUAGGCUUCAGAUCUGGCAAGAGCAGACUGCGUCUGGGUAUCACACAUUCCGGCCUGAACCAGAAGGACGUGGAAACGCACACAAAACGUUGACCAUGACAUUCAGGAACUAAGUGACGUUGUUAAACGCUCCUUGGAACACCUAGG